UUGCCUUAGUAACGGCGAGUGAAGCGGCAACAGCUCAAAUUUGAAAUCUGGCCCUUGGGUCCGAAUUGUAAUUUGUAGAGGAUGAUUUUGGUGCGGUAUCUUCCGAGUUCCUUGGAACAGGACGCCUUAGAGGGUGAGAGCCCCGUACGGUUGAAUGCCUAGCCUCUGUAAAUCUCCUUCGACGAGUCGAGUAGUUUGGGAAUGCUGCUCUAAAUGGGAGGUAAAUUUCUUCUAAAGCUAAAUAUUGGCCAGAGACCGAUAGCGCACAAGUAGAGUGAUCGAAAGAUGAAAAGCACUUUGAAAAGAGGGUUAAAUAGCACGUGAAAUUGUUGAAAGGGAAGGAUUUGUGACCAGACUUUUUCUGGGCGGAUCAUCCGGGGUUCUCUCCGGUGCACUUCGCCCAGUAAAGGCCAGCAUCGGUUUUCGGCGUGGGAUAAAAGCAGUAGGAAUGUGGCUCUCUACGGGGAGUGUUAUAGCCUAUUGUAUAAUACCGCGCUGGGGACCGAGGUUCGCGCUUCUGCAAGGAUGCUGGCGUAAUGGUUAUCAAUCACCCGUCUUGAAACACGGACCAAGGAGUCGAACAUUUGUGCGAGUGUUUGGGUGUUAAACCCUCACGCGUAAUGAAAGUGAACGGAGGUGAGAGCCCUUACGGGUGCAUCAUCGACCGAUCCUGAAGUUUUCGGAUGGAUUUGAGUAAGAGCAUAACUGUUCGGACCCGAAAGAUGGUGAACUAUGCGUGGAUAGGGUGAAGCCAGAGGAAACUCUGGUGGAGGCUCGCAGCGGUUCUGACGUGCAAAUCGAUCGUCAAAUCUGCGCAUGGGGGCGAAAGACUAAUCGAAACCAUCUAGUAGCUGGUUACCGCCGAAGU
rnacentral:rRNA from 1 species